AAGAAAUGUAAUCUUAUUUUCACUCUCUAGAACUUUUAUUCUUAGCUAUUUGGUCAAGUAAUUAUUGUCGUAUUAAAAAAUAAUUAUUAUUACAACGAAAAAAUUAAACAGAAAAAUAGAAGAAAAUAAAGGAGCUAACAAAAAAAGAAGCAAAUACGAAAAAGACAAAAAAGUUGAAACAAGAAAAGAAGCCAAAAAAAACUGAAAAAAGCCCCCCCGCUCCAAAAAAAAAAAACAAAAAAGCAAAGAAAAAAACGCCAAAAAAAGGAACAAAAAAAAAGAACAAAAGAAAGAACAAAAAAAUAGGAAAGAAAAAAAAAGCAUAAAAAAAAGAAAACAAUAAAAAAAAAAACAGAAAAUCAAAAUAAUAAGGGAACGAGGUGUCGAACCCUCACCCUUUGAAACAAUGUGAAAGCACUUUAACCACU
rnacentral:lncRNA from 1 species